CAGAAAAUAGUUUAUAAAAAAAUAUUAGUUUUGGGGAUUAAUGAUGAGAGUUAGUUUUCUUUUCUGA
rnacentral:tRNA from 1 species